AUAGGGGAGCCGGAGGGAAACCGAGUCUUAAUUGGGCGUUAAGUUGCAGGGUAUAGACCCGAAACCCGGUGAUCUAGCCAUGGGCAGGUUGAAGGUUGGGUAACACUAACUGGAGGACCGAACCGACUAAUGUUGAAAAAUUAGCGGAUGACCUGUGGCUGGGGGUGAAAGGCCAAUCAAACCGGGAGAUAGCUGGUUCUCCCCGAAAGCUAUUUAGGUAGCGCCUCGUGAAUUCAUCUCCGGGGGUAGAGCACUGUUUCGGCUAGGGGGCCAUCCCGGCUUACCAACCCGAUGCAAACUGCGAAUACCGGAGAAUGUUAUCACGGGAGACACACGGCGGGUGCUAACGUCCGUCGUGAAGAGGGAAACAACCCAGACCGCCAGCUAAGGUCCCAAAGUCAUGGUUAAGUGGGAAACGAUGUGGGAAGGCCCAGACAGCCAGGAUGUUGGCUUAGAAGCAGCCAUCAUUUAAAGAAAGCGUAAUAGCUCACUGGUCGAGUCGGCCUGCGCGGAAGAUGUAACGGGGCUAAACCAUGCACCGAAGCUGCGGCAGCGAACGUAUCACCCAAGACAACUUUACGGAGUUGACGAUUGACGGAGCGAAGCGACGUCAAAGCGUUCAUUAAAGUCGAGUUGGCUUAGGGAUACGUUCGUUGGGUAGGGGAGCGUUCUGUAAGCCUGUGAAGGUGUGUCGUGAGGCAUGCUGGAGGUAUCAGAAGUGCGAAUGCUGACAUAAGUAACGAUAAAGCGGGUGAAAAGCCCGCUCGCCGGAAGACCAAGGGUUCCUGUCCAACGUUAAUCGGGGCAGGGUGAGUCGACCCCUAAGGCGAGGCCGAAAGGCGUAGUCGAUGGGAAACGGGUUAAUAUUCCCGUACUUGGUGUUACUGCGAAGGGGGGACGGAGAAGGCUAUGUUGGCCGGGCGACGGUUGUCCCGGUUUAAGCGUGUAGGUGUGUGUUCCAGGUAAAUCCGGUUCACUUUAACACUGAGGCGUGACGACGAGGCACUACGGUGCUGAAGCAACAAAUGCCCUGCUUCCAGGAAAAGCCUCUAAGCAUCAGGUAACACGAAAUCGUACCCCAAACCGACACAGGUGGUCAGGUAGAGAAUACCAAGGCGCUUGAGAGAACUCGGGUGAAGGAACUAGGCAAAAUGGUGCCGUAACUUCGGGAGAAGGCACGCUGACACGUAGGUGAAGUGAUUUACUCAUGGAGCUGAAGUCAGUCGAAGAUACCAGCUGGCUGCAACUGUUUAUUAAAAACACAGCACUGUGCAAACACGAAAGUGGACGUAUACGGUGUGACGCCUGCCCGGUGCCGGAAGGUUAAUUGAUGGGGUCAGCGUAAGCGAAGCUCCUGAUCGAAGCCCCGGUAAACGGCGGCCGUAACUAUAACGGUCCUAAGGUAGCGAAAUUCCUUGUCGGGUAAGUUCCGACCUGCACGAAUGGCGUAAUGAUGGCCAGGGCUGUCUCCACCCGAGACUCAGUGAAAUUGAACUCGCUGUGAAGAUGCAGUGUACCCGCGGCAAGACGGAAAGACCCCGUGAACCUUUACUAUAGCUUGACACUGAACAUUGAGCCUUGAUGUGUAGGAUAGGUGGGAGGCUUUGAAGUGUGGACGCCAGUCUGCAUGGAGCCGACCUUGAAAUACCACCCUUUAAUGUUUGAUGUUCUAACGUGGACCCGUAAUCCGGGUUGCGGACAGUGUCUGGUGGGUAGUUUGACUGGGGCGGUCUCCUCCUAAAGAGUAACGGAGGAGCACGAAGGUUGGCUAAUCCUGGUCGGACAUCAGGAGGUUAGUGCAAUGGCAUAAGCCAGCUUGACUGCGAGCGUGACGGCGCGAGCAGGUGCGAAAGCAGGUCAUAGUGAUCCGGUGGUUCUGAAUGGAAGGGCCAUCGCUCAACGGAUAAAAGGUACUCCGGGGAUAACAGGCUGAUACCGCCCAAGAGUUCAUAUCGACGGCGGUGUUUGGCACCUCGAUGUCGGCUCAUCACAUCCUGGGGCUGAAGUAGGUCCCAAGGGUAUGGCUGUUCGCCAUUUAAAGUGGUACGCGAGCUGGGUUUAGAACGUCGUGAGACAGUUCGGUCCCUAUCUGCCGUGGGCGCUGGAGAACUGAGGGGGGCUGCUCCUAGUACGAGAGGACCGGAGUGGACGCAUCACUGGUGUUCGGGUUGUCAUGCCAAUGGCACUGCCCGGUAGCUAAAUGCGGAAGAGAUAAGUGCUGAAAGCAUCUAAGCACGAAACUUGCCCCGAGAUGAGUUCUCCCUGAGACUUAGAGUCUCCUGAAGGAACGUUGAAGACGACGACGUUGAUAGGCCGGGUGUGUAAGCGCAGCGAUGCGUUGAGCUAACCGGUACUAAUGAACCGUGAGGCUUAACCUU
rnacentral:rRNA from 1 species